CAUGUACCUGAUGCAGUUCAGCAUGCUGCCACAUGCUCUGCCUCCCUCCUGAGAAAGGAGACACAGCAGCCCAGGAGGACUGCGUGCACACAAGGCCACCACGCAUCCAGACUACAGGAUUUCAGUGAGGUUUUGACUGAUACGUAGAAAGAACCAUUUGAGCUAAAGAAAAUGCUAGAAAUACAUAAUCACUUUCUUUGAAAGUAUUUAGACCAUCUCUCCUGGGAAGGACUGUAUCAAGGGUGGAGACGAGCCACAGAAACUCCCAGCAUGAGAUAACACCAGUAUGUGAUUCGGGAGAAGUGGAUCAUCAAUCAGCCAGACUUGUAAUAAGGAUAACACCACCGUGUGCACACAAGCAUUGCACAACACGAUUGGCCCCGAGCACCCUGCCCAUCAGCACCCUUCCACUGAGCUGAAGUUAGGACCAUUCCUCCAGUCUCAUUCAGAGCUUCCACCUUAAUCUCUCAGCCUGCCUAAAUACAGUGCUAGCCAAAUAAUUUAGGGGUGGGAAUAACUAUUUUGUGUGAAACACAAGCCUGAAAAGCAAAACCCGAUGCUUUCAUGAAAAACAAACAAACAAACAAACAAAAAACAAAACAAAACCAAACACCUGCAUCCUUUCUUAGGGGAAAAAAAUAAGAUUAUUUGGAGAACUAACCUCCAAAUGCAAGUCAUCUUUAGGAAAAGGAUACUUUAAAGAACAAAAAUCUUCGGUUUAUUGUACUAAAUAUGUAAACUCUUAAGGGUUUCCUAAUAAGUCUGCUAAGUAUCCUACACAAAUUUGCUGGGUAAAGAAUCCUAACAUGCUUCAUAAAAAGCCAAUCGAAGAAUGCACUGUGUUAUUCUGCACAAGAAUUAUAAGCUUUCAAAAUACAUUUAAACAUAAGAGUGUAGAAAAGCAAUAGUGAAUGUGACUCUCCAUAUCCUGUAGGAUGGCAGGAAGAUGGAAGCACUCCUUCAGCCCUUGCACAGCCAGUGGCUCACUGCAGCACACCUCAGCAUUUUAUAAUGCAAGUCCCUUCCAACCCAAGACAUACUGUGUUGUUCUUUGACAGUGCUCUGCAAAAAAAGUAAAAUCCACUGAGUUGGCCAAAAAAUGCAUUCACUAAACUCAUGCAAGAUGCAAAAAUAGUACUUUUUGGAAGAAAUUCAACUGGAUCUGGCUUGUGUCCAACAACAAUUAAUAUACUGAAUUCUUGGGCAGCUAAAUAAAGCAGCUUCUGCCCACUGAACUUUCAGGAAAUGGCAUUGUGGAAGGCUAAAAAAAGUUGGCUCUAUCAAAGACUAUGCAUUCUAUUUCCCCAGUGCAGUCCAUUCUACCCUCCCUUUUUCAAGAGUAUCUGCAUUUAAAUUCAUUUUGAGGUAGUUUGGCAGUAUGAACUAGAGCACACAAUUCCUCUGUCUAUUGGAGCUAUAUGAUUGUUACCAUUCAGCUUUCUAGGCAUGUCUUCUUAAAGAAUCUCUACAGACGUUUAAGGAGAGGGAGCAGCAAAUACUGCAUUGUAAGAGAAGCAAGCCAGCACUCUCCUCUAAGAUCCUUUUAUUCAUUUCCUUUAAGGAAAACAUAGCAGCUGCCCCACACCUUUGUGUAAAACAACAGAACUCCAUGACUUCACAGCACCAGCACUGGGCAGCCCACCACAAGCACCUGCCUCCCACACAAGCAGUAACCCUGUGCAGAGCUGGGGGCUCUCUUCAAGCUGGCAUGCACCCACACCAGCCCUAACAGCAGCCAAUACUUGUGCCUACAGGCUGCACACUCAUCCUCUGCCCCACUGCUGCUGGAUUCAAGCCACAGCUAUGCCUUCAACAGAGAUACUCUGCAGGCAGAGGGAACGGACUUCAGGGAUUACAAGUUUCAAACUGAGGCACCUCAAAUAAAAGAAUCAAUAGGGAAGGCUGGGAGCAAAGUAAAAAAGACGCAGCUUUGCGUGUCACUGAGUUACUGUACCUCAGACAGCAGAUACUUGAUAGGUAAAAUGGACAACCAUUGCAAAAAAUUAAGUUGUAAUACGUAGUGGAGCAGGAGGCAGAAAGAAAAUCUGAAUGAUCUUAAGUCAGUGUAAUCUCAUUUUCCAAGCACCAAUUUCUGAUCAUUUCUUUUCCUAUUUUAUUCAGUAUUCAAGAAGUUCCUUUCUAGCAUCUUCCCCACACACUGCUCUGUAUAUCAGCAGCAUACAGAGCAUGUCUGGGAUGCUCUAAUUUCCAUGCAGCUGGUAGUAAUUCAUCUUUCACAGAGCUGUAGAUGGCUGAAAUUGCAUUCCAAGGAAGCAUGCUCCCUUUAAUAAGAACAAUCAAAUGCUAUGAUUUGUAGGAAGUAACUUUUUCCCUCCACCUUUUUAUUAUUGGCAAGAUGUCAACAGAUUAUUAAAUUGCAGGGAGCACAAUCUAUGAUAAAUAACCUUGCUGCAUAUCAGACCCAACACCCCCCUCCUCUGUGUUCAGACAUAUACCUUUGUUUUCCAAAACAAUUCUGAUUUACAAAGAAUUACAGAUUACUGAUGGAGUCAGAGCACUGAAUGAAGUACCGCAGGUGAGCAUGAUUGGCACAGCUUCUGCAAGCCUUGGUUUCUGGGAAAAGAAACCAAGUACAAGCAAGAAAGCAACCUUCUGUAUGUGGCAGCUGCAAGACCACUGCUGGCAUAGUACAUGCUGUCUGUGAGUGAAAUACACCACCAUGAAAAAUUGGAAAAGACCCCCCAGAAAACACAAGGCUGUCUUCAGGUCUUAAAUCAACUGCACUAAGAAGUUGAAGACGUUAAACCCACUUACUUAAUCAAAGACACUUAAAGCAUCACCUGAUCAUAGACUGCAAUUCCUUAGAGACAAAAUGUCAAAGCUGGAAAAGCAAGCUGGAUUGAGAGAAAAAGCACAUUGUAAAGAUAAUUAUCCUUCACAUACUUUACUGAAGAGUGUAAAAGAAUUGCCAGCAGAUAUUAAAAUGCACUGCAUGUCUAAGAUACGUAGGUUACUAAAUUCGAGUGCAGAGAUACAGGGAUGCAAAUUAUCUCCCCAGAGCUACACAGUGUCCAUGACAGAGCUAAGAACAACCUGAAUGCAAAGCCAAACACUUCAAUCACAAAAACUGUCCUACUUCCAUUGUCUCAGCCUGUAUCCAGAAGUACAAAAUCACUGAGAGAAGAGAGAGAUGAAAAUAUGUCUCACGAACACUUCUAACCCACCUAGAAGCACACUAGUAGCGAGUAGCACAGCUACAUUCACUGUGUAAAGCUCUCAUGUUCAGACCAAGCUAUUUGGACCCAGGGUGUGAACUUCUGGUACUCAAAAUAUUCAACUUUCUGAAUCAAGUAGGCUGACGCAGAUCCUCUGUUGAAAGAGGCAAAAAAGUCCUGUGUUGCUUAAUGCCUUUUAGAUGAGGGGUUGGAGUGCUCAAGGAUGCAAUUCCCACUCCACCUCUCCCCUGAGAAUGACUGGUUCGCAUCCAGCUCAGAGCAGAAAUGUCAAGUACCAUCAUGUGCGCUCCUGAUAGACUUGGAGAGGUAAGGGAAUAGCCUGAGUGCAGCUCCCAGAAGACAAGUACACAUAUAGGACAAGUCCCUGUGGAUCAGCCUGGCAGCGCUCCGAGGAGAAGAGCAACAGGAGCAAGCAGAGGGAAGGCUGCAGAAAAGUGGUGGCCAGGACCCUGUGGUGCAGAGGUGAAUUAGCAAGAGAACUCACUGAGGCUUCAUCUUGACAGCUUCAACUCCUUUAGACCCAGUGAAGACUUGCUUCAAAUAAAUUACUUCCACGCACAGGGAGAAGCAGGGUUUGUAACAGCAGCUCCAAGCAGAACAUAGCAGUGAGCUACACCUCGCUCUGCAGCACAGGCAAAGUAAGGAGAGACAGAAGCCUGUAAGGAGCCGUGCUACAAUACAGCACUGUCUGAGCUGACUCCUGCAGCAGCAGCACCCUGCACAGUGCCCCUGCUCACCUCGCUCCAGGCUCGCCGUGGAGCUGCCUCUGGUUCUUCACUCUGUACCCACUGCCAUUUCACUGGGAACGUCUGUAGUUCCUCCCACAAACUGCUGCAGCCCUGAGAUACAAAUAGCAGCAAGGUCUUCUAGCAAGGCCUAGGAGACAGCUCUGAACUGGGAAAACUAAGUUAUUAAGGACCAUGUUGGUGCAGGGUUUCAGCUGAAACAAUACUUAAAUCUCUCUCCCUGCCAUGGCUAUGGUAAUACCACACAACUACUCAUUAUCCUUAUCUUAACUAGAGAAGCUCCUUUCAAUUUAGCACUUAAUGUAAUUAGAGCAAAUUAAAUCGUGUUCAGAAAAAAUCUUAUUUUACCAGAGCUAUUAUAUUACCUCUACAAAACUGUCAGUUAAAAGCUAUUAAACAAUGGGAGUUUGUAUCUACUCAGGGAGCAGAAGAGUGAGUUAUUAAACUGAAAUUUGCUUAAAUUCUAUUUCCAAAUUCAAUACCACAUCUCCAAAGGAAAAUGGUAGACUCUCAGUGGCAGCACAGUGACCCUGGCAGUACUGAAACACUUGAACACCAAUUCUCUGUUCUUUCAUAUAUUAUUUAUUUUUAAUAUGAGGAUUUGCAUUUCAGUAAAUACAGCAAACAAUUGCCUUUGUCCUUUCAGCAAAAUUAGCUCUGGCUAGAGAUGUACUGCUGACAUGUGAGAGACACAGAACAAAAGCAGCUGGCUGCCAUGAAGUCAAGUGGAAAAAAACACAUUCACUUCAAGGGGUUGAGGAUGUCAAAUACAGCAUGGGAGAUGAAAUCAGGGAAGCCAGAAGGGCACCAGGUAAAAAGCCGUGUGCGUUUACAUGUCACCUAAGAAACAUAUGAUAAGUGGUAAAAGCUUGAAGAACUGGAUAUUCCAAAAACUGACCUAAGCAAAAAAGUUCCUGUUUAGAGUAGUCCUAUUACAGUCAACGUGAUUUCAUUCGUGAGGACAAAUUGCAGAUACGAAUUUCACUCCUAUGUAUAUCUGUAGCACGGGAGACUGAAAAUUGCAAGCAGAGAUUUCUGGAAGCACAGUCUGUUUAAAGCAAUUAAUUUCUACGCUAUUACCCAGGGGGAGGUGGGUGAGGGUGGAAAUAGGCAACACAUCUGCAAGAGGUACCCAAGAAAGGUAGAUACAUCUCAGUAUGGUCAGUUUGUGUUCUCAUGAAUAAUAAAUGCUAGAUUGUAAUAUUUGAAUUGAUAUUAGAAUUUUAACAUGGUGCAAGCAUUCCAGACGUAGGGAAUAAAAUGUUAAGUAGGAAGUAUAUUUAUCAUCUCUCUGUUCAACAAUUGAGAGAACAUUACCAAUAAUUAGUAGCAGGCAUUAAAACUGCUUUCUGCUAACCACAGAUGUUGUUGGUCACAGCAAGGUUGAUAUUAAUGCAAUAAAGUCAGAUGAUGACAGCUUUACAGCAGAGGGCAACAUACUGGACACUUGUGGGAAAAUAAUCUUUAGCACCAUAGGGAUUAUUUGGGUUAAAUGACUUCUGAGUCACAGCUGGUUGUUCAGUGUCUCUCACCUGGUCUAUAUCUCCCUUUUAUUUCCUCACGAGGAGAGAAGAAAAAGAAAGUGGCACUGCUGCAGCCACUCCUUUCUCCUUUGGAGUUAAUACCCAGUAUCUUGCUGACACUAUGAGAAGGGUCUCAUUUAUAUUACAGAAUAGCCUAGCCAAAGCCAAGGCCACACUGCCACAUGGUGUGAACUUGCAGAAUGCAGACCAAGGAACCUGUAAUCCAAGCAGACACGAGCCAAGACAAAAAAAGACAAAAAAGGCACGUGGAGGCAAUGUGACAUACCCAUGGCCACAUACUUUAUCAGGGGCAUUUGUGGGCAGGAAACACUGCCACACUUCUCAGAUGUGCUCAUGGCUAUGGCAUCCUCCUGGCUUUGCAGCAUACCCCACCCUCUUCGAAGAGCAAGCUUGCAGCACCUAUGCUGAGGUUCUACAAGCCAGAACUUGAAUACUAACUCAUAACUCAGGCUUGGUUUACGCAGCCUCUAGCCCUGUUCAGGUAGAGCUGCUGGAGUCUGCUGCAGUGCACAGGUGUAUGAACAAAUGAGGAGAGGGUACUGCAGUGUGCUUCCACAGCCUGCAGUCCAGAGAGAAUUUCAGGUGAUAACAGAAGAGUAAUUAUAAGCAACAGAACCUGUGUGUGUAUCAUCAGUCACACCAGCAACAUGGGUCCUGUUUUGCAUUCAUCAACCCUGAGCUAAAAAACAAAAUCCCAAAACAACCCAUUUAUAUAUGUAUAUAUUUUUUCAAAUUACAUAUUCUUUUCACAGUGGGACAAAGAGAAAGACAAGGAGGAUGGAUCAAAUUAACAGACAUUAAAAGACAGUGUUUUUAAACCCAGCUUAAAAGCACAAAGAUGGUUUAUUUCAUGCCAAACACAUCUGUGCCCUUCUCCAGGCUGAUAAUAGGGAGUACCAUGGAAGACACCUUGUUUUACUGCCUUGCCCACUAGUGCUGCUGUAGGUACAGAGCAUUCAGUGUUCGCAGAAUGCCCUCAUAAUCCAAGUGAGGAUUUACUACUUUAUGGGGAAAAAACACUGAUAUUUCUCAGACUUGAACUAUCUUUGACCCACAUACAGAAAAAAGGUCACGAAGUGAUCUGAAAAUCCAGAUUUCUUUCCUCAGUAAGGUAAGGGGGAAAAAAACACUCACUGUAUCAGCGACUAUCAGGCUUGCAGCAUUGUCUGAGCUUCUAUUCAAAGCAGCACAGCAAGAAGCAGCAGAAAGAUUCAUUUCAUAAAAUGUAAAUCUCAUCUAUUUGCAGCCAUGCCAGGAGCUUACCAGAAUAAACCCCACAGGCCCAGCAUUAAUCCCAGUGGCAAUUUCACAUUCGACUUCCAGGGAUUUUACAGAUGAGCCAGCGGUGACUCCCUGAGCAAACGGUGUGAUGUUUGAUAAAUUGUCAAAAAGCCUCAUCACGUCCCUCUACUACACAAAAGUGCUUCUCUCCUGAUGCUGAAAAUCAUAUUAAAACACACCAAAAUAGUUGGGUUUUUUUUUCUUUUUCUUUUCCUUUUUCUUCUGCCAAGAUUACCCACAGUGAGCAUUAGCAACCCACACCAUGCUACAUAGCAGAGUUCCCUUCCUCUUCUCAAUGGAACAUGGCAAUUGUUCACUGCAAGGAAAGAAUUCCCCAUAAUUAUGAU